AUUGUAUUUACAUCGUGAGCAAACUUAUUAAUUGGCUUAAAAGAUAAAGUUUUAUUCAUUCACUCUUUGAUUCUUUACCGGAGAAAUACCUAAAAGCCUAAAGAUCGAUAUACUUGGUAUCUUCGUAUGAGUUUGAAGGCAUUCGUGGGAGGGAAAUUAAAACACGGAGAUAGUAUUUGUGAAUGAGAACCAUCUAUUCAGGGAGGGAGAGAAUUAAGAAAAUUGGAGGUUGUUGGCUUCUCUCUUAAAGUUUACAGGUGGUAGAUGAGUGUCAGACGGCUUUGAGAAAUUUUUUAUGUAAAGGUUAGAUUU